UAGACUCACAAAGCCUGUAAGUUAUUUUUCAUGUUCACUUUCUUUUCCAUCAUUAGAUCAGCAUAUUAAACUGUUCAACAGUAGUAUCUGCAGUAAAAAAAUCUUAUUUUACUUUUGUCACUGAGUAACUUUUUGUUUGUUUUCAUCAGACUUUUGAAGAACCUUCUUACUUGAUAGGCACCAUCUUUAGGUUUUGAUUGUAGUGAUGAAAUGGUGCAGUGUGUAGAGAAGAAAUUAUUUGUUUAUGAAUCAUUGGGUGAGGCAAAAGAAAAAAAAGAGUAUGAGAUACAUUUACUUUGAUGCUGGUCACCCUCUGCUAAAACAUAUUUGCUUAAUUCUGAAAGAUAAAAUUUAGACUCAUGACAUUUAAAAGGAUGCAUGUUUUGACAGAAUAUAUUUUGUGCCAUAAUUAAUGUUUGCUGUGGAGCAAACAUUACCUUUAUGACCAUAAUGACCUUUAUUUAUUGAAAUAAUACAAUACUUCUGCCUGAAAUUACUUAGUUUUUCUUGCUUGGGGGUGGAUACUUGCAGUAACAGGCACGUUCAUAUGGUGUGAGUUGUUCAUCAGUAGUAGUUGAGUACUGCAGCUGUUCCCUGGUGGAUAGCAAUGAGGCACUACCUUUUUUAGAAAAGAAGGAAAUAAAGAGAGACUCUGGAAUUUGAAAGUAUUGACCUUCUGACACUCACACACAGCAUGGUCAUUCCACUGGCACACAAAGUGCCUUAAGCCACCAUAAUGGCAAACUGCAUUUUUGAAGUCACUGAUAUGAGAGCCAGCUGGAUGGGGGAUGGACAGCCAACUGUGAUUCUGCAGCUAUUUGACCCUGACACAUCUGAAGCUAAAGCUGUAAUUUUUCCUGCUUUAACAGUAGCUUGUCAGUUUCUUUGACUCAAAACUUUCAGUGGAAUCUAAAAUGGGAGAGCAUGUUGAGACAGGACUCCAAUCACUCUAAACAAAAAAUCAUACAGCUGCCUUCAGUUUGAACAGGAUCUUGUAUCUGUGGAAGAGGAUGCAUUGCUGUUAUCUAUGGUCAUGCUGUGGUUUGAUGUCAUGCCAUGACCUAGGUGUUGCAAAGAGAAUGAGUGCUUUAUAUAGCUAAUGAGGUGAGCUUUCUUUGCAAACUUCAUUUGCUUGCAUCACUUUAAAUGGAUUUGCUAACCUACUGGAUUUGCUACUACUAUGGUAGUAGCUACCUGAUGUGUGAUUGCAAACUUUGCUAAUCAGCUUUAGGGGAAGAACUACUUUCUUAAUUAAAAGUGGCCGAUUACUCUUCAGACAGGAGUUGUAUCGUAGGGUGUCCUUUUAUCUUUCUUGCCCCCUUCCCUUUUCAUUUUUUUUCUUUUUGUUCUGUGACCAUGAGUAUUUCCAAGAAAAAAAUACUUUUCUUUGUAAUCUGUUUAUCCCUUUAAUUUCACCUUGUGCGAGUAAUGCCAGGUCUAGUGUGUUCUGCCUGGAAGGAGCCAUGAAAUGGUGGCUUGAAACUGCAGUAAAUAUUGAUUGGAUCCCUGAGCAGAGCCUUGCUCAAAGCUCACUUUGAAGAAUUGAAAGGGACCUAUUGUUCCUUCUUAGUCAGUACUCCAUAGCCAAGGCUAAAGUAUGCAAGUGUUAGGAUAAGAAAGGCAGUGGGGGAAAUUGAACAGUGAGCACAGCUGAAGGCGUAACUGCUCAGUGCUGAGGGAAGGGAAGCCUCCAGCAGAAAAGGGGCAAAGAUUUUAUGUGGCUUGCAUAAAACUUUGCAGAGGUCGAGUGCCCAAAACCAUCCUCCUUCUUGUAAGGUGCUUGAUGAAUAUAGCUUUCAUAUCAUUUAGGUGGAAUGUGGAGAAGAGGUACAAACUUUUUCCUUUAAGGGAUGGUUCCUCCCAAAGACUCUGCAAUCCUUUGUGAACAAGUAAGCAAUAAGGGUGGAUUAUUGGGCAGCUCUUGCUGCCUCACAGUUUGAGGCUCUAAUCAAAGCAGUGAUGGAUGAAGUAUUUGGGAGAGUUUAACCACUACUGUUCUGUUCCACAUAGCUGUUGCUUGGCUGUACAGAAGAAAGGCAAAAUGCAGAGGAUGCAGUUUAAUUAGCUACCACUUCUUAUUAAUUCAUUUGAAGCUUGGCAAUAAACACAGGCUGCAAAUUGUUGUGCUUUCAUUGGCCAGUCCAUCCUCAUUGGAGAAGCUUCUGCCAGCCAGUGCCAGUCUAGAUGAUGUAAGGAAACUUCAAAGGACCCAUGACCUCCUUUUAUUCCAGCUUGCAAGACAAAGCCUUGCCCUCUGCGUUUCAGACUACAGAAAUGACAGUGUAUCUAUCUCAUUAUUGUAAAGCAUAUUGGGAUGUUUUGAAUAUGAAAGGAUCUGUAUAAAAGCAAAUUCUGUUUACUUCACCUCAGAUGGGAAUAGGAUUGUCUUGUUACUGCACUAGUCCUUUAUCUAAGAAGUGCUUGACAGUGUGCUAAUAACAACGAAUCUGCGCUGUGUUUUGCUUGCACCGUCUAGCAGCACUGUAACAGGAAGAAACUCAAGUCUCCAUGGGUUGGGUAGAAGAGGUUGAGACAAGGAUGGGAAUUACCAAAAAUAAAAUUUCUGUUGAUGAGAAACCUGAAGUUCAGUGCUUUAAAGCUAGCAAAAGCAUCAUUUUUCAAGUUGAUGGAGAGCAGUGAAAAAAGAUUACUUUUGAUAGGCAGGUGACACAUUAUUGUAAACUGCAGUGGAACAAUGUGACUGAAAUUUUAGUUUGCCAGAUUUUAUUAGAAAUUGGUUUAUUUGGUGUCUAGAAUACCUGGAGGUAUAAAAUCUGGUUGAAGUAUUGUAUCAUCACCCCAUCACAAACAUUUUUCUCCUUUUCCCCCUGAGAAGCAUACCCUGUGUAAAUAUUAUAUGCUAUGUAAAUGUUAUAUUAUAGUCAGAUCCUGUUCAGGAUCCUGUAUCUAUUUGGAAUGCAGAAAUGCAUGGUUGAGGGCAUUUGUAGUUAUACAUAAAAGAGGAAGCUUUAUGAUUGUUUUUUUCUGCAGUAAAUCUGUGUUCUUUUGAACCAGUACUUUAAACACUUAAUAAAUUUACAUCUGCUUUUCUAAUUUUAAAAAUAAUUUUUUCUAUGGCUCAAAUGCAAAGUUGACAUCCAAUACAGCCCGUAUUAGGAAAGAAGUAAGGCCCUUGUCUGGCCCACUUUUGUUUUGGUUUUGGGUUUUUUUGUG